GUGCUUGCACUUUGGCAGCACAUAAACUAAAAUUGGAAUGAUACAGCUAUUAGCAUGGCCCCUGUACAAGGAUGACAUGCAAAUAUUUGUGAAAAAAGUAUUUUUU